CUCGGGUUUCUCGUCUGCAUGUGGAGAUGAUGACUUUACCAAGACACCUGCUGAGACUGCGAGAUAAGAGCAAGUCUUGGCUCCUUGUGAGAACCUCUGAAUUUUAUUACAGACCUUCCUCGUCAGAGGACAUCAACAGCCAGAAGGCACAGCCCCAAUUAAACAGAAGCAAAAACAGCCUUGUAAGAUUCAGUCCAUGGGGUCGCAGAGUCGGGCACGACUGAGCGACUGAACUGAACUGAAACUGUUCAUCAGGACUUCAACAUUUAAGAGGGUGAAGGAAAGAGGUUCCCGCUUCUUUUUUCUCUCAAAAAAACAAAGAAAACAACAAACAGAAACAGACUGUUCUUAACACUAGCAGACAUUGAAAAUGUGAACCAUUAAAUGUGGACCACUGAGUGGCUAGAAGAAUGACAAAGAAAUGAACAAAGAUGAAUCCAAAUACCAAUAGAAGCGUAAUUUAUUUACAAUAAAAUUCACCAAUUUUAUUUUUACCCAAAUUUUAUCAUUCACCAAAAAUACUCAAGAGUG
ensembl:lncRNA